rnacentral:misc_RNA from 1 species
GAUUUCCACAUUGCUCAUGGAGGGAAGAUGGUGCCAUUUGCUGGAUGGAGUAUGCCUAUUCAGUACAAGGACUCGAUCAUGGACUCUACUAUAAAUUGUAGAGAGCAUGGUAGCCUCUUUGAUGUCUCCCAUAUGUGUGGACUGAGCCUCAAUGGAAAGGACUGUAUUCCUUUUCUUGAGAAACUUGUUAUUGCUGAUGUUGCUGGCCUUGCACCUGGAACUGGGACCCUAACUGUCUUUACAAACGAGAAGGGGGGAGCAAUUGAUGAUUCAGUGAUCACCAAGGUGACAGAUGAUCACAUAUACUUAGUUGUGAAUGCAGGAUGUAGGGAUAAGGAUCUGGCUCACAUUGAGGAGCAUAUGAAGUCAUUCAAGGCAAAAGGUGGUCAAGUCUCAUGGCACAUCCACGAUGAAAGAUCUCUUCUUGCUCUCCAGGGUCCUCUUGCUGCUCCAGUUCUUCAACACCUGACAAAAGAGGAUUUGAGCAAGAUAUACUUUGGGGAGUUCCGUAUGCUAGACAUCAAUGGAUCGCACUGCUUUCUCACUAGGACAGGGUACACUGGUGAAGAUGGGUUUGAAAUCUCAGUUCCUUCAGAGAAUGCUGUCGAUCUUGCAAAAGCAAUCUUAGACAAAUCUGAAGGAAAAGUAAGGCUGACAGGGUUGGGUGCACGAGACAGCCUUCGACUUGAAGCUGGGCUGUGUUUAUAUGGCAAUGACAUGGAACAACACACAACACCAGUAGAGGCAGGAUUGACUUGGGCAAUAGGGAAAAGACGAAAGGCUGAAGGUGGCUUUCUUGGUGCUGAGGUGAUUCUUAAACAACUUGCAGAGGGUCCAAAAAUCAGGCGUGUAGGAUUUUCAUCUUCUGGUCCACCUCCUAGAUCCCACAGUGAGAUUCAGGAUGAAAAAGGAACAAACAUUGGGGAAAUUACCAGUGGAGGAUUUAGUCCAUGCUUGAAGAAGAACAUUGCCAUGGGGUAUGUGAAUUCUGGAUACCACAAGGCAGGCACCAAAGUUAAGCUAGUGGUUCGAGGGAAGGCCUAUGAUGGAGUUGUCACAAAAAUGCCAUUUGUACCAACUAAAUAUUACAAGCCAUCUUAACCCAUCUAUGGUGCUGCAGCUCCUUUAUUAUCUAAUCAGUUCCUGUUUAAACUCGAUUACUUUCAACGAGAGUUCCCUCUUUUCUAUCUGCAAGAACUUCAUUCAUUGUGAUGAUUAUGCUUUUUAUUGAUACCAAUUAUGAAUAAUUGCAGCAGUUGCUUCAAUUUGUGAA